rnacentral:rRNA from 1 species
AUACGUAGGGGGCAAGCGUUAUCCGGAAUUAUUGGGCGUAAAGAGUGCGUAGGUGGUUCUUUAAGCGUGAGGUGAAAGGCAAUGGCUUAACCAUUGUAAGCCUUGCGAACUGGGGGACUUGAGUGCAGGAGAGGUAAGUGGAAUUCCUAGUGUAGCGGUGAAAUGCGUAGAUAUUAGGAGGAACACCAGUGGCGAAGGCGACUUACUGGACUGUAACUGACACUGAGGCACGAAAGCGUGGGGAGC